rnacentral:rRNA from 1 species
GUGGGGAAUUUUCCGCAAUGGGCGAAAGCCUGACGGAGCGACGCCGCGUGGAGGAUGAAGGAUUUCGGUCUGUAAACUCCUGUCAGGGGGGACGAAUCAACUGACGGUACCCCCAAAGGAAGCAUCGGCUAACUACGUGCCAGCAGCCGCGGUAAGACGUAGGAUGCGAGCGUUGUUCGGAUUUAUUGGGCGUAAAGCGUACGUAGGCGGCUUUUUAAGUCUGGUGUUAAAGCUAGGGGCUCAACCCCUGUGUUGCACUGGAAACUGGAAGGCUUGAGUGUGGUAGGGGAAGGUGGAAUUCCGAGUGUAGCGGUGAAAUGCGUAGAUAUUCGGAAGAACACCGGUGGCGAAAGCGACCUUCUGGGCCAUUACUGACGCUGAGGUACGAAAGCUUGGGGAGCGAACGGGAUUAGAUACCCUGGUAGUCC